AUCAAGUAUGAUUAUUCAGGUUGCUAGAUUAACACCUCGGGGUGUAUGAAACACGAGAUAAUUAAAUCUCGAGCCCCAUACUAAACUUCGUCAUACGCAUGACCCCCGUGCAGAUCAUAUCUGCGAUGCCCUUUCAUCUGCGAAUUUCAUCUUUCUUUUGACUACGGCAGAACCCAAAGAACUGAUAGCACUUCCAUGAUCAAUCAGGAUCACGGAUUGCCAGAACUUUGUCAAAUUCCACCAUGCUGUCUCGAGAUUGAGCAAACGCAAAUUCUAGGGAAGCAACAAGAACCUCGGGUAACAGAUUUCAUCUGUCACCCGCAUAAAUAAUUUUCAGCAAUAGAUCUCAUCUACUACCUAAUUAUAUUAUGCAAUACCCAUACAUCUCCAUGUAUUCUAGAUCGAAACCUACAUCUAUGCAUAGCACGGCUCUUGAUGCCACUGUAGGGGAACGCAGCAGAAAACAAAAAAUUUCCGACCUACGCACCAGCCUAGGACCACUAUGGAGACUGCAUACAUGGUUUGAUCUUUUUCGUUACCGACUCGUAGCGCAGCGGGAAGUAGAGUCGAUGACGAUCGGCGGUGCAGAUCCCCGCAGCUAGGAUUUACAACCUCCCAACCGCGAGGAUGUAUACCCUCAUCUGCUCCUCAGACAGCCCUCCAGGAGGCGGUCGAACAGCCCCCCGGACGGUGUCGCGGACAGCCCUUCGGGAGGACCUUCGAAACUCGAACGGUCACUCGGACAGCCCUUCGGGAGGACCUUCGAAACUCGAACGGUCACACGGACAGCCCUUCGGGAGGCACUCACGAACUAAGACCGAAACUACGAUCUCUCUACAGAGUUGCACACAUACGGUGUCAUCUAUCCGGCAGGGCUUCGCCGUCCAGAACUAGUUCCUGCCGGAACCCAGACAGCCUUACGGCUCUACGAAACUCUUUUCGUGGGAGGGAGAGAAGAAGCCAGAUAAUGCAUGGCAUGUGUAUGAGAGUAAGGGAUGGAUGUGGAGGGCUGCCCCUCCACCUCCAUUUAUAGGAAAUCCCAAGGGGGUAGGGUAGUUUCACAAAAAACCCAAAAUGCACAUGAAUGAAGUCCUUCCACAAGGACCUAGGAGUGAAACCAAGGAACAAGAGGGUCCCCAAGGGGGGAUACCUCAUGUGGCCGGCCACACCCCCAUGAGGGGCCCAAAAAAUGGCUCCUAUCCAUCCAUGUCAUCCCCAAGAUCUUUUGGAGCAAAGCCCCAAAAGGUGGCUUUCCAUAAAGCAACCAUAAAGCUGAUUUUCACUAUUCACGACGACAUUUUUCAGCGUCUGAUCGAACUGAAAAUAUUUAUGUGGGCUAAGAACAUUUCCAGUACCCACUAAAAUGAUUUUCAACGCGUUCCGAAACAAUUCCGGUUUUAGUGAUUUUCAUCUGCGAAACGCAUCUGAAGUGGCUCCGGCAGCUCCGGAACAUUUCCGGUUUUUAUCUCAGAAAAUUCCAAAAAGCUUCCAGAAUGAUUCUGGCAUCCUCCAAGAAUUAUCAGGCAUGUGCCGAAACCAAUUUGACUUAAUGGUGUAUCCCGAAACAACUUUUCGGUAUCAUCGAAACUUAUCCGAUGACCUCUCUCUGCGGUACGAUUCCGCUGUCCGAAACUUUUCGGUGUCCGAAACUUUUUCGGUGAUUUUCUCUCAGACUCCCUGUCUAGUAUACAGCAGAUAGAUGACCCUUAAGCGUGUGACCCUAUAGGUUCGGUGAAGUAUAGACAUGACCCGGAACCCCUUCCGAUCAAUGAUCAACAUCGGAGCCGUGGACACCCAUAUUGACCCCUAUACCCACACGAAUAAAUAUUCGAGUGAACCUCCAGUUGCCGUGUGCUAUUCCUGUUGCUUCGCGAUAUGUUACAAAUACCCGAGGUGAGACAUGUUGGCAUUCCCGUGGAUCAACAACUUGUCCACUAUGCUAGUUACCUCGUUACCGGUAUUGUUCUCUUUUCUCGUUAUCGUAUUCCGGCAUCCCCGUGAUCAAAUCACAAAGUGUCUGGCCAGACGAUGAUGGAUACCGUAACACCGAGAGGGCCCAGAGAUAUCUCUCCAUCGUCGGAGGAGCAAAUCCCAAUCUUGAGCUAUCAAGUUACUUGACACACUUUUCCAUGAACCCGUAAGCCGCCAUAAUAGCCACCCAUUUACGGAUGACGUUUAACAAACCCCAAAGUUCAUGAAGCAAGCAUGAAGAAACUCGAUACUCUCAUGGUCUAAGGAAUCAUGCAAACGUUAACCAUCUCUGUGUUAUGUACCAAUAAACUUGUGACGAAUGAAUCUCAUAGCAUAACAUCAAUCCGGGUCGAUUCAACACAAAUGUUCUCUUAACAUUGUGCCCUCAAAGUUGCUGGCAUAGACAUGCCCAUGACCAGGAAAACAGAAUCAUCAUGCAACACUUGAGCUAGUCUUAGAGGCCAGACUAGGAAUACUUUUUACCGUUUAUUAUUCCACACGUGCAUUUGAGUCUUCCUCCGAGCCUCGUGGAUAUUGCAGACUCGAGAAUCAUUGCAGUUAUAGCAUGGAACAUAAACAUAAUUAUGAACUCGGAGAUAAAUAAUAUCAUUUAUUAUUGCCUCUAGGGCAUAUCUCCUACAACUUAGUCCCCUCCUCAAGUUAUCUUUAAUGAAUUUGUAGUCCGCCUGUUUAUUAUAGCACUGGCGAAAGGUCUCCGAGGGGCUUUACAACCCCGCCCCCAGCCAAAGGACCACAACCGGGACCUUGACCCUGGAUUCGAGGAGGAUCCGGAUAUAGUCGUGACGCUCGCGGACGGGAUGUUUUACCAAGCGAGUUACGAUGGCACGGAAGUGGCCAUCAUCGCGGACUACCCUGGUCUUCUUCCCGCCUCCCAUGUAAGUAAUUAGGAGACAUCUUCCCCGAAAGGGUUCCGCCUCACCCACCGCACCGUGUUGUGCUCCAAAGGGGAGGCGUUCAACUGUGACGCCCGGAUAAUUAGACUACAGUAAUUCCCUGCUAAUGAUGCCACGUCACCUCUGUCACUGUAGUUAAUCUCGGGUUAGUUCAAAACCGAUCCAAAUUCAAAAUUGAAUUAAAGGCAAACAACAAAAGUUUUCAAACUUUAAAACUAAAAUGUCUUGGUUGUGCCAAGUAAUGCAAAGUUAAUUGUGGUGAGGAAACCCCACUUUUAUAAAAUGUUUUAAUACUCUAAAAUGAUUAAAACAGUAGUUAAAACGAUUAAAUAAGUGCCUUUGAUAUUUUUAUAAAAGCAUAAACUAUUUUAUUUUGAGUUAAAACUUUUUAGGGUAGUGGGUUGUGUUGAAACACUAAUUUGGAGGUAUUGACAUAUUUUACUAAACUAAGAAUAAAGUGUAACUAAAAUAAAACAGAAAAGGAAAAAGAAUAAAAAGAAAAGAAAACCAUAAAAAAAUAAAGCCCCCCCUUGGCCAACCGGGCCAGACGGCCCAGUUGGCCAGCCCACCGGCCCAGCCGGCGCCCCUCACACUCUCCAUAACCCCGAACCGACGGAAACCCUAGCCCACCACCCGCAACAACUCCCACUCCCCCCACGAUCCCCACGCUCCUCUCCUCCUACCCCCGAUCCAGAUCGGGAUCGUGGUACUCGCCUCCGCCGUCGCCGCCCGGUGCCGCCCUGGCCCCGUCGCCAACCACCGCCACUCGCCGGACGCCUCCCCACUCCUCCCUCAGCCCCCAGCUUGCAUCGGGGGGUCGACGCCAUCGCGCCUGGCUCCACCUCGCCGGAGCCCUGCCGCCCGCCACGCCGUCUCCAUCGCCUGCACCUCGACGUCGCCCCGGACCGCCCUGACGUCGUCGGUGCCGCCUUGCUGGACGACCCCGACCUCGUCGCCGCCAUCCGUUUACCUCAUGCCCUCCCCGAGCACGCCAUUGCACAACGACAGGCUCGAUGUGAGCCUCUUCCCCUCCCCUCUCCCUCGCGCGAACCCUCCUGCCCGCGCUGCGCGCGUGCUCGCGCUCGUCACCGCGGCCCUCGCACCGGCCAUCGCCCCGCGCGCUCCUGGCUUCCGCGCCCACUGUGACCCCUAACGCCGCGCGCCCGUUGGCCGUCCACCGCGCGCCCGCAACCGCGCGGCUCUGCCAUAACCACCUCCUGCCAUCCCCUCAUGCGCGCGCCAUGCCGCGGCCUUGUCCCCGCAUCGCGCCUGGGCCGUGUGCCCCGCUCACGCCCCUGGUCGUUCUCCGGCACCACCGCGCGCUGCCCGCCCUCCGCCUAGCUCCACCAUGGCCUCCUCCGUCCACCUACCCUCCCCGCGCUCACCGCCGGCAACCGCUCGCCGUCCUGCCACCGGCGCCUGUUGCCGCGCUGCCCUGCUCCGGCCCAUCGUGGCCGGCGCUCCCCUACCCUGGUGGCCUGGUGUGCGGGCACCCCUUUGCCCGCACCCGUUAGCGCCCAUGCCCGCUAUGCCCCCCCAGGCCUAUGACAAACGGGGCCCACGCCCAGAACAAAAAAAGGAAUAAAUAAAUAGAUAAUUAAAAAUAUUUAAAAUAUUAAUUAAUUAAAGAAUUAAUUAACUUUAUUAAUCCUGAUUAGAUUAGCCUAAUUAACUAAUUAACUAUUGUUAAUUAGCUAACAGAGCAUGACAUGCUUGACCCACACGUCAGUUUUACCCAGUCAACGCCCCGUUGACUGUUGACGUCAUGUUGACGUCAUGAUGACGUCAGCAUACACUAUUCUGGUUAAUGUUGAAUUAAAAUAAUUAAAUAAAUUCUAAAAAUGAUUAAAUUGUCUAAAAUUAAUCUAAAAUAAACCGUAGCUCGGAUGGGAAAACCUUGUACAUGAAAGUUGCUCAGAAUGACGAGACGAAUCCGAAUACGCAUCCCGCUCGUCUACCACACAUCCCUAGCAUAGCGAACACGCAACUUUCCCCCUCUGGUUCAUCUGUUCGAAAACGCGAAACUCCGGGGAUACUUUCCCGGAUGUUUCCCCCCUUCGCCGGUAUCACCUCCUACUGCGUUAGGGCACACCUAGCACCGUUACUUGACAUGUCAUGCAUCGAUAUGCAUCUAUUUGCAUUGUAUUCAUUGUUUCUUCCCCCUCUUCUCUUCGGUAGACUACGAGACUGACGCCGCCACUGCUGCCCCGAUCGACUAUGGUGUUGACGACCCCUCCUUCUUGCCAGAGCAACCAGGCAAGCCCCCCCUUGAUCACCAGAUAUCACCUAUUCCUUCUCUCUACUGCUUGCAUUAGAGUAGUGUAGCAUGUUACUGCUUUCGGUUAAUCCUAUUCUGCUGCAUAGCCUGUCAUUGUUGCUACAGUUGUUACCUUUACCUGCUAUCCAAAUGCUUAGUAUAGGAUGCACGUGUUCCAUCAGUGGCCCUACACUCUUGUCCGUCUGCCAUGCUAUACUACUGGGCCGUGAUCACUUCGGGAGGUGAUCACGGGCAUAUGCUAUAUACUUUAUACUGUUACAUUACUUAUGAUACUGUUUGGAGAUGGGGGCUGAAGGGGCAGGUGGCUCCAUCCCGGUAGAGGUGGACCUGGGUUUCCGACGGCCCCCAACUGUUACUUUGUGGCGGAGCGACAUGGCAGGUUGAGACCACCUAGGAGAGAGGUGGGCCUGGCCCUAGUCGGCGUUCGCGGAUACUUCAAUUUACACGCUUAACGAGAUCUUGGUAUUUGAUCUGAGUCUGGCCACUAGCCUAUACGCACUAACCAACUAGGCGGGAACAGUUAUGGGCACUCGACGUCGUGGUAUCAGCCGAAGCCUUCUGGACGUCAGCGACUGAGCGGCGCGCGCCGGAUUGGACUGGAACGCCUGCUCUUGUAUUAGGGAGGCUAGGUCUGCUUUCGGCUGCCCUCGCAACGUGCAUGUGUGCAAUGGGCGAUGGGCCGAGACCCCUGCGCCAUAGGAUUUAGACCGGCGUGCUGACCUCUCUGUUGUGCCUAGGUAGGGCUGCGACGUGUUGAUCUUCCGAGGCCGGGCAUGACCCAGGAAAGUGUGUCCGGCCAAAUGGGAUCGAGCGUGUUGGGUAAUGUGGUGCACCCCUGCAGGGAAGUUUAUCUAUUCGAAUAGCCGUGAUCUUCGGUAACAGGACGACCCGGAGUUCUACCUUGACCUUAUGACAACUAGAACCAGAUACUUAAUAAAACACACCCUUCCAAGUGCCAGAUAUAACCCGGUGAUCGCUCUCACACAGGGCGACGAGGGGAGGAUCGCCGGAUAGGAUUAUGCUAUGCGAUGAUACUUGGUGAACUUACCAUCUGCUCUCUUCUACAUGCUGCAAGAUGGAGGCUGCCAGAAGCGUAGUCUUUGACAGGACUAGCUAUCCCCCUCUUAUUCUAGCUUUCUGCAGUUCCUUCCACCGAUAUUGCCUCUUUACACAGAUACCCAUGCAUAAGUAGUGUAGAUCCUUGCUUGUGAGUACUUUGGAUGAGUACUCACGGUUGCUUUUCUCCCCCUUUCCCCCCUUUUCCUUUCUUCCUGGUUGUCGCAACCAGAUGCUGGAGCCCAGGAGCCAGACGCCACCUUCGACGACGACUCCUACUACACCGGAGGUGCCUACUACUACGUUCAGGCCGCCGACGACCAGGAGUAGUUAGGAGGCUCCCAGGCAGGAGGCCUUCCCUUUUCGAUCAUUGUUGCUUUUGUGCUAGCCUUCUUAAGGCAAACUUGUCUAACUCAUGUCUGUACUCAGAUAUUGUUGCUUCCGCUAACUCUUGUGUUUUCGAGCUUAUGUAUUCGAGCCCUCGAGGCCAUGGCUUGUAAUAUAAGGCUUGUAUUAUUUUAAUUUGUGUCUAGAGUUGUGUUGUGAUAUCUUCCCGUGAGUCCUUGAUCUUGAUCGUACACAUUUGGGUGGAUGAUUAGUGUACGAUUGAAUCGGGGGCGUCACAAGUUGGUAUCAGAGACGACUGCCUGUAGGAAUCCCCCUUUCCACCUCCUUGGCCGAAGUCGAGUGUAGUCAUUGCAAAACUUUUACUAACAUGGCUGUGUGUCUUACGGACCCACGUCGCCAUUGGGUGGUAUUAGGAUCUUUUACUCCUAGUCUAUACUCUGAGAUUCUGAUCUCUCUUCUAUUCGGGUUAAAUGGUUUUGCUAACUCUAACUCUAGGUUCUCGUAAAUACUUUCUCCCAGAGAGCUCCUUCAUUCCAGAUGAUGGCCGACUUCACCAGAAGAUUUCAAAGAUACUCUUCCAUAUUCACUCGAGACUUUGUGCCCACCGCUUUUGCUAUUCCCGACCAUCGAUAAAAACUUAUGGGUAACUGCAUACACUUGUCGUCCAUAGCUUCACUUCCAAUUGUUCUUGUUAUUACAAGAUACCCUAAAAUACUUCGGAUAUUCCGAGAAUACUUUGUGCCUGCUGCCUUGCAGUUACUAGCCACAUAAAUACCCCUGCGGAUAAUUCCUCGCACUUGCCGAGUAUCCGCUCAUCCCUAGCCGUUCAUGUGUUUCAAAUAAGUCCUCGAAAUACCAUUCGAAUUUCUGAAAAUCCUCAGCAGCCCAUUGCUCUUGAUUUCCUUGCCUUCUUGCAUUAUGGUUAAUUCCAUACUUGUAGUAAUCUCCGUUGGCAUCCUCUAUCACUGUCAUUUCGAGUCACUUGAUUCGAUAUGUUGCAAAUGCUCGCAAUCCUCAAUCAGAUCCUAGAAUUCAUCCUUCCGGCUCAGACGUCAUUUUGAACAUGAGCUGGCCCUCGACCAAUCAAGUUGUCGUCGAAUGUACCCCUAAGUCUAUUCAACUUAUCCAUUCUUAAUCAUAGCGUCUGCUUCUGAUCCCUUGGUGAGAAAUCACAAUUCCUUUACAUUUGAGCUUUGAAUUAGUCAGUUGUUUCUAUACUCCAAUGCCUUUCCAUUGUUUCUUCUUCUGAUUGUGUGCCGAUGCUCACAUCAGCUCCGUUGUGGACCGCCAGUUCAUUUGUUGGGUUUUAUCCGACAACGUCCUUCAUAUUCAAUAAGCUUGUGAGCUUUUCCUUAGAUACAUAAUGCCUUUGGUAAAUUGUAUCCUCUGCUUUCUCAAGCAUGCUCUACUAUCGAGUUUGUGUUAUUUAUUCUCGAAAUUUGUGGUAUAUGCUCCAAAGAUGCCCCGAUGGGUUGAACCUAUGCCUUCCUUAAUCUAUGUGAACCCGAAAGAUUUCACGGGUCAUACUUAUCUGGUAUUGCACCAGGUAAAACUUUCAACACUAAUGCCAUUUUCGAAAACCGAGAGGUGAAUGAAAGGUUAUACAUUGAAGAAGUGGGAGUCGACCUUGAACUUGUGUUCAUGCCCAUGGACCCGAUGUGGAACUUAUCAUGGAAGCUUCCUGCAAAAGUAUUGAAUCAUUUGAAUAAUUCUUCCGGAGUCAUUAUAUUGGAUCCCUUGCAGCUAUGGUUCCAACCAUGCUAACUUUACUUAAUAUAUUUCUGAAAGGAAACCAUUCCAGUACCUCGUCUAUUUUGAGAAAGUUAAAGUAUCUGCUAUCGUUACUCAACAAUCCAGUUCAGUUUCUAUCCUGAGCUACUUUCGAGUAUUACCCCCUGGUAUCUCGAGGAUACCAACCCAUUGCACUUCAUCUUAUGAAUUUCUGAUGAAGUAAUACCUUUCCCUAUCAUAUUCACUCCACGAGUUCUAGGUUGUCGUCAACCGAGAACACCAAAUAGUGAAUCGAGUCCGCACUGCUAUUCGACAACUCUUAGUAAUCUUCAUUGCUUACGAGUUUUGUACUCGAUCAUGUCAUUCCCAACUGAUUGACUACAUCAUCAUCGUCAGGCUGACUGCUUGACCAUUCUACCUAUGUCCUUCAUCCCCGGGACACAAUCCCGACAGUGCUCUAAGCUUACAUCGAACUUUCCGCAUCAUAUUUUUUGUCUUGAGAGACAACUCCGAAUUAUGAGAUGGCAUCUUAUCUAUGGUUAUAAUAACUUCAUCAUUCCCUUUGUGUGAUGUCGUCGCCCAUCGAUUACAUCUUCUUGAAACCUGUCGAUAAAUGUGUCAUGGUCAUCGUCAAAAUUUUAACUUCUUCCGAGACGUACAUUGAGUUCCUUAGGAGAGAAUUCCAUGCUUGCCCCCUCGAUGAUUUGUGUUAACAUCGACAACAUUAUUGAUCUCCCUCCCAACACAAAACUUGUUCUAGUUUUGCGUUGUACAUUGAGUUCCUUGCUAUCCGACUUAUGUUAUGCUCUACCUUGGAGUAUUACCAUCGUUUAUGUCAAGAAUGUCGUGAGAAUUUCACCACCUCUUAUGAAUUAUUGAUGCAAGUAAUACUUCUCACCAUAACCUUUCCUUCUUGGUCCCGUGUUGAAUCUAACCGGGAUACCAACAAGUGAACGGUGCUGCUGGGAUUCUGUACUUCUAGCAACCCUAUUGCUUUGAAGUUAAUGGCCGAUAGUUCAUCCUCAGACUAUUGGUUAUUGAAUCACCAUUCUAACAUGGUCAUGCUACAUAAGCCCAUAUUUUGGGUGCACCUUUCAACCAAUGUUCAAGUGUGUAUGUUUUCCUCGAGCAUACAUCAUUAUAUCAUUUGAUCUGGCAAAUGUUAUCUCCUUGUUCACAUAAUUGUGGAAAUCCAUCCUUUGGGAAUCUCGAUGAUUUGUCGCUGAGUCCAUCAGCCACCUUCUCAUCCUCUCCUUGGUUUACUGAUGAACUCUUGUUUCGGAACUCGCUUCCAUAGUUCAUUUCCCAAGAAUCUUAUGAUGUCUUCUCGUCAAUUCGUGUCGCACCUUUUUAUCUCAGGAUCCUAAGUCUGAGGUAUCCUGAUACCAAUCAGAUCUGAAUCUCGGUCAGAUAUGAUGGUUGGAACAUAUUUCCAAGAGUUAUAACAUUGGUCGUUAUAAGACCCAGUAAGGUGAUGUCAUGCCUAUCGCACCUGGGUGGAGGACCUACUUUUAUAGUAUCCUUUUUAGCAAGGUUAACCAUUCUUCCAUGAGGAAAUUGUCAGACUUAUUCUAUAAGUUGUUCCUGACGAAUCCUUUGUGUAUCCAAGUCCGACCUUGCUCGAAGACCAUGUCAAUGCUAUCUCGAAGCAUGUCUGUGGUAAUCCGAUUUUCAACAAGAACAUUUGAAGCCCAAUGCUAAAUGUUUCUCGCUCAAUUAUCCAAACACCGUUGUAUGGGUAAUGUCAUGAAAUUUCUCUCCCCUUACCUAAAAGGGUUAUCUACUUUAUACCCUAUCAUGGAUAUCAUGCUCUGCUUAUCCUUGGGAAGGAUAUAACCCUGAAGCACAUUUUCCUCCCCAUUGUUCUGAUUAAACCUGGUAAUCACCUUUCCUUUCCAUUGGUUUGCUUAACCCUUCUUGUGAUCUAUAUUUUAUAAGUAGUAGUAUUCUUCUGCUUAUGUAGAACACCUUAGUGUACAACCGUGUCAGUAAGACCCUUUUGCUUUUGUUGAUAGCAAUCCGGUAACCACCGAUGGAUGAGAACUUUGCCUAUUGGUCUGCCUCGUUCAACGAGCAGGAAAAUGGUUCUCUUCGUCCCUCGCCCUUGGUACUGAUGUUGUUGCCGACAUAACCGACAGACUAUCCCCUGACAUGCCUUGCUUUCAUGAUCGUGCAAGACGUCACCGCCCUUCCUCCUUUUAACCCACAUGGUGGGCCCAUAACCCACAGUUCCACAGGAUCGAAACCUAACUCUCCUGUACACCCCCUAUUACCAAAGUUAUUCCUCGCGCGUGGCCUUGUGUGUAAUUCAGGAGCCACCUUCCGAUGAGAUCAUCAAUCUGGUAUCAGACGCAAAUACUUAUUCCCAUUGCUCUGAACCCUUUUCACACUUCUCUUCAGGCAAUGAACGAUUGCCUAUGCGCUUGAAACUUCUAUUUUGCACCUUCUCACUUUGCUCUCGAUAUUGUCUUAAAUUUAAAUUCGAGAGUUACUUUCCGCCACCUUCCUCGUUGUUGUCUACCAGAUAGUCUACCCUACAGAGGUCCAUUCUUCCGGUAUACCCCCUUAAUCUUUAGUUAGUAUGAUGAAGACUCCGAAGGAAGGAUGGCCACUUCAUCUUGAUGACCUGGAGCUGAGAAAUGAAGACAUCACCAAAAGGGAUCAAUUACUUCGGGAAGAGCAACCAAGACCGAGAAGAAUCGUUCGAAUUUUGUAACCAGAACUUUCCCCCUUACUCCCCUCUUAAAUCUCGGGACGAGAUUUCUUGUACUGGAGGAGAAUUGUGACGCCGGGACAAUUAGACUAUAGUAAUUCCCUGCUAAUGAUGCCACGUCACCUCUGUCACUGUAGUUAAUCUCGGGUUAGUUCAAAACUGAUCCAAAUUCAAAAUUGAAUUAAAGGCAAACAACAAAAGUUUUCAAACUUUAAAACUAAAAUGUCCGGGUUGUGCCAAGUAAUGCAAAGUUAAUUGUGGUGAGGAAACCCCACUUUUAUAAAAUGUUUUAAUACUCUAAAAUGAUUACAACAGUAGUUAAAACGAUUAAAUAAGUGCCUUUGAUAUUUUUUAUAAAAUCAUGAACUAUUUAAUUUUGAGGUCAAACUUUUUAGGGUAGUGGGUUGUGUUGAAACACUAAUUUGGAGCUAUUGUCAUAUUUCACUAAACUAAGAAUAAAGUGUACCUAAAUAAAAUAGAAAAGGAAAAAGAAUAAAAAGAAAAGAAAACCAGAAAACAAAAUAAAAGAAAAAAGCCCCCACUUGGCCAACCGGGCCAGACGGCCCAGCUGGCCAGCCCACCGGCCCAGCCGGCGCCCCUCACACUCUCCAUAACCCCCCACUGACGGAAACCCUAGCCCACCACCCGCAAGAACUCCCACUCCCCCCACGAUCCCCACGCUCCUCUCCUCCUACCCCCGAUCCAGAUCGGGAUCGUGGUACUCGCCUCCGCCGCCGCCGCCCGAUGCCGCCCCGGCCCCGUCGCCGACCACCGCCACUUGCCGGACGCCUCCCCACUCCUCCCUCAGCCCCUAGAUUGCAUCGGGGGAUCGACCCCAUCGCACCUGGCUCCACCUCGCCGGAGCCCUGCCGCCCGCCACGCCGUCUCCAUCGCCCGCACCUCGACGUCGCCCCGGACCGCCCCGAUGUCGUCGGUGCCGCCUUGCUGGACGACCCCGACCUCGUCGCCGCCGUCCGUCUACCUCAGGCCCUUCCCGAGCACGCGAUUGCACAACGACAGGAUCGAUGUGAGCCUAUUCCCCUCCCCUCUCCCUCGCGCGACCCCUCCUGCCCGCGCUGCGCGCUCGCUCGCGCUCGUUGCCGCGGCCCUCAGACCGGCCAUCGCCCCGCGCGCUUCUGGCCACCGCGCUGCCCCCGCCCACCGGCGUCGUCCGGCUUCCGCGCCCGCUGUGACCCCUGACGCCACGCGCCCGUUGGCCGUCCACUGCGCUCACCCGCAACCGCGCGGCUCUGCCGCAACCACCUCCCGCCAUCCCCUCGCACGCGCGCCAUGACGCGGCCUUGUCCCCGCACCGCGCCUGGCCCGUGUGUCCCGCUCACACCCCUGGUCAUGCUCCGGCACCACCGCGUGCCGCUCGCCCUCCGCCUAGCUCCGCCAUGGCCUCCUCCUUCCACCUACCCUCCCCGCGCUCAACCCCGGCAACCGCUUGCCGUGCCUGCCUCCGGCCGCCGGCGCCCGUUGCUGCGCUGCCCCGCUCCCGCCCGUCGUGGCCAUCGCUCCCCUCCCCUGGUGGCCUGGUGUGCGGGCACCCCUUUGCCCGCACCCGUUAGCGCCCAUGCCCGCUAUGGGCUGUAGGGUAACGCAUCAGAAAACAAAAAAUUUCCGACCUACGCACGAGCCCAGGACCACUAUGGAGACUGCAUACAAGGUUUGAUCUUUUUCGUUACCGACUCGUAGCGCAGCGGGAAGUAGAGUCGAUGACGAUCGGCGGUGCAGAUCCCCGCAGCUAGGAUUUACAACCUCCCAACCGCGAGGAUGUAUACCCUCAUCUGCUCCUCAGACAGCCCUCCGGGAGGCGGUCGAACAGCCCCCUGGACGGUGUCGUGGACAGCCCUUCGGGAGGACCUUCGAAACUCGAACGGUCACUCGGACAGCCCUUCGGGAGGACCUUCGAAACUCGGACGGUCACACGGACAGCCCUUCGGGAGGCACUCACGAACUAAGACUGAAACUACGAUCUCUCUACAGAGUUGCACACAUACGGUGUCAUCUAUCCGGCAGGGCUUCGCCGUCCAGAACUAGUUCCCACCGGAACCCAGACAGCCUUUCGGCUCUACGAAACUAUUUCGCUGGGAGGGAGAGAGAAGCCAGAUCAUGCAUGGCACUUGUAUGUGAGAAGGGAUGAUCCUUUUGGCAGCCCCCUCCACCCCUAUUUAUAGGCCAAGCCCAAGGGUGGCUUCUCCAAGAAGCCAAGGGGGGAAAUACCAAAAAGGCCCUCAAGGUGGCUUCUCCAAGAAGCCAAGCAAAAAGCACUUUCACUAUUCAUGACGACAUUUUUCAGCGUCCGUUCGAACUGAAAAUAUUUAUGUGGGCUCAGAGCAUGUCCAGUACCCACUAAAAUAAUUUUCAACGCGUUCUGAAACAAUUUCGGUUUAGUGAUUUUCAUCUGCGAAAAGCAAACAAGAAUGCGUUUUCACUAUUCAUGAAGACAAUUUUUCGCGUCCACUAAAUCCGAAAAUAUUUCUGCGGGUCUUAGAAUAAUUCUAGUACCCACUAAAAUGAUUUUGGAUUCGUUCUGAAACAAUUUCAGAUUAGUGAAUUUCAUCUACGAAAAACAGCCAAAGUGGUACCGGCAGCUCGGAAACAUUUUCGGUUUUUAUUUCUGAAAAUUCCAAAAAGUUUCCAGAAUGAUUCUAGCACCCUCCAAGAAUUAUCAGGCAUGUGCCGAAACCAUUUUGACUUAAUGGCAUACCCCGAAACAACUUUUUCGGUUUCACCGAAACUCAUCCGGUGACCUCUCUCUGCGGUACGAUUCCGCUGUCCGUAACUUUUCGGUGUCCGAAACUUUUUCGGUGAUUUUCUCUCAGACUCCCUGUCUAGUAUUCAGCAGAUAGAUGACCCUUAAGCGUGUGAUCCUAUAGGUUCGGUGAAGUAUAGACAUGACCUGGAACCCCUUCCGAUCAAUGAUCAACAUCGGAGCCGUGGACACCCAUAUUGACCCCUAUACCCACACGAAUGAAUAUUCGAGUGAACCUCCAGUUGAGGUGAGCUAUUCCUGUUGCUUCACGAUAUAUCACAAACACCUGAGGUGAGAUUUAUUGCAUCCCCGUGGGCCAACACUUUGUCCACUAUGCAAGUUACCUCGUUACCGGUUUUGUUCUCUUUUCUCGUUUCGUGUUCCGGCAUCCCCGUGAUCAAAUCACAAAGUGUCUGGCCAGACGAUGAUGGACACCGUAACACCGAGUGGGCCCGAGUAUAUCUCUCCAUCAUCGGAGGAGCAAAUCCCAAUCUCGAGCUAUCAAGUUACUUAACAUACUUUCCCAUGAACCCGUAAGCCGCCGUAAUAGCCAUCCAGUUACGGAUGACGUUUAACAAACCCCAAAGUUCAUGAAGCAUGAAGAAACUCGAUACUCUCAUGGUCUAAGGAAUCAUGCAAACAUUAACCAUCUCUGUGUUAUAAACCAUUAACUUGUGACGAAUGUAUCUCAGAGCAUAACAUCAAUUCGGGUCGAUUCAACACAAAUGUCCUUCCUGACAUUGUGCCCUCAAAGUUGCUUGGCAUAGACAUGCCCCUGAUUGGGAAAACAUAAUCAUCAUGCAACACUUGAGCUAGUCUUAGAGGCACGAAUAGGAAUACAUUUUACCGUUUACUAUUCCACACGUGCAUAUGGGUUCUCCCCAGAGCCAUUAUGGAUAUACGGGCUCGGGAACCACAACAGUUAUAGCAUGGAACAUAAACAUAAUUAUGAACAGGGAGAUAAUCAAUAACAUUUAUUAUUGCCUCUUGGGCAUAUCUCCUACAGACUCCCACUUGCACUAGAGACAAUAAUCUAGCUUAUGCUAAUGCACUUCACACCUGUGGCACACCGGUGUAAAUAUGCUUCGCUUGUGGUAUAACCUGAUGUCCAACGGAUCUGACGACUUCAGUUCCGUGUGUAUCUUUGCAUGUCCUCGCGUUUUCACGUUUUCACAAAAUUCAUAUUUUGUGUGGACUUGGCUUUGUAUGUAUGUGAAUCACAGGUCGAACCUGGAUUCCUCAGACUGAGUUAUGGAGCAACUACCUGCAGUAGUGUCCCAUUGUCAAAAGCCAUCUUGGAACUAUACUAAGUUCAUGAAUGAACUAUAUGAUUCAACAUCUUCUUUGUCGCUUCUAAAGCGUCAACAUACUUAGCCCAUGUUAUAGAAUUCGCCACAGUAACUAGUUUGAACAAAUUCCAACUAACUGUGCCACCACAUUGUGUGUUACACAAAACCCUUAAUUUAAAUCGAAAAUCGCAUGGAGAAAAGAUGAAGAUUGUAUCGAUGUAACAUUUUACAACGAACUCUUCAUGAUCUCUGCUUGCGAGAAAACCAUGUCAUCAAUACUUACUCUAGUACUCUGUGACAUCUUUCACUGUUGUCCCAUGAUCAGUAAUUUGAUCACUUUGGUAUCCAUACUCGCAACACCUUGGGAGUAUCGGACAUAUCUGGUUGUUUUACAUACCAUGGAAUACAUGAUUAAUCCAAACACAAGAGUGUGUGGAAUCUCCAUCAUGUAUUUUACUCAUCAGUGUUUUGGGACACCGAGUCUUGCAAAAACUAUUUCCAUGUGACUUUGGCAAGAAUCACUCCUUGGCGUUUUAAAUGCAAAAAGGUUUUAGCAUCUUGUCAAUAUGUAUUCAUUGCUUAGCCCCAUUAGGUAAAUCUAUCUCCAUAGAUCAUCAUGCCUAAUAUUGAGGCUAUUUAGCCUAAGCACUUCAUCGAAAAACUAUUUUCAAAUGAAGUCCUAAUUUGUGUCAAGAAAUUUAUUUCCAAUUACCAAUGUGCCAAGCACAUAAGGUUUUUAGAAAUAUUAUUACGCUCCCACUUACUUUCUUGAAUUACAAGCAUCUUUGUUACCCAUUGAUGAAGUCAAAACCCCUUUGACCAUUUCAUCAAAACACGAAGAUUCCAACUCCAUUUUGCUCUCUUUUGUCCAUUGCUGGAACUCUGAAGUUUGCAUACCUCCUAGCAUCCUCUGGAUCGACAAAUUACUUUGGACUGUAUCAUAUACAAGUCCUAGCUUUCAUUUCCAUCAGAUGGAAAUCCUUUUAUCAUCCAUGUUUCAUAUCUCGUGAUUGAAAUAUGUAUUAAUUGCUAGUUCAACCCGAACCGACUUUAAGCAUCGCUACGAUGAAAACAACCUCAUCGUAGUCAACUCUUGAACUUGUUAUUUCAACAAGUCGAGCUUUAUGGAUAAAACAUUUUAUCCGUAUCAGUUUUAAGUUCCAUAAAUAUUCGUUAGACUCUAAGUCUUCCGAAAGGUGUAUCGAGGUUUUAAUCUUGAAUCACUUAUAUGGAAACUAACUCGAGUUGUAUUGGCAUUUAGCCAAUUCUGGAGUUAGGGCCCAUCAACGCUUCCUUGUGUAUCGUAGGUAUAAUGUUGUCCAACAACAAUAUCUCGUUUGCGCACCUGAGAGGUUUGCACGAGCCUUGCCUACGUGGUUUAGCUGCAAGUUCGACCGAAGUUCAUACAUUUUAUUGUAGAGACUUCCGUAUCAGUCACAGUAGGAAACUCUGGAAUUACUUCCAAGGUCUCUUUCCUUUGAUCUGAUGACGAAGAUACUGUUUAUCUCGUCGAGUUGCACUAUUCUCGCACUCAUCUUUUUAAAAGAACCAUUCUCUUUAAAAGCACACCGUUUCGCGGCAAAACUAUUUGCCUCGGUAUAGUGAGGGAGGAAUACCCAACAUUUUGGUAUAACCUACAAAGUAGCACUUGUCUGAUUUGGAAUAGGUUUGUAACCUUUUACACAAGCCCCAUAUUCCAAAUGUUAAGAAAAGAUAUAACAUGGUUGGGCGUACCAUACCAUGGCUUCAUUUCAACAGACCCGAUGUAGCUCUUUUCAGUGUAAAAGCCGCUGUCUCUAAAGCAUCACUUUAAAAAGGAUAAUGGCAAAUUUAUUUAUGUCAUCUUUGACCUUACCAUGUCAUAAAUGGUUAGAUUACAUCUCCACGGACUUUUCACUUGCAGUGGUGUUCCGGAGGUGCAAGUUAUGAAACCUCUUUCACAACUCAUCAGACAUUCGCUAAACAUGUAACUCAAAUAUUCCUUUGUGCAAUCAAAUUGCAGAAACAUAAUUUUCUUGUUACAAUAACUUCUACUUCAUUUUUGAAAACCUUUCGAAUGAUUUCAAAAGAUCCAGACUUACGUCUCAUCAAGCAAAUAUCCAUAUAUCUACUUGAGUCAUUUCUGAAGAUAGAUAAAUCCACUACUUGCAACAACAUUUAUUGAACUACAUACAUCAAAUGUAUGAUCACCAAUAAGCUUUGUUGCUCGUUCCUUAUGGCCUGUGAACGGUAUUUCAGUCUCUUCACUUUUCGGAGGAAAGUUGCAAGCGUCAGAUGAUUCAAAUUCAAACGACUUCAAAAUCCAUCAUAAUGGAAUUUUCCAUGCGGGUUUCUCCAAUGUGACCAAAUGCAGUGCCACACUUGUGUGGUAUUCUUCUAGUCUUGCGACAUUCAGUGUCAGUGUUUAUGGAUGUACCAUAUUACCAUCAAUAUUCAUAACAUACGUCCCAUCGAUGAUGGAAGUAUGGCCCUUAUGUUAUUCAUAAUUCUGAACAACAAUUGUUCUUUUCUGAACAACCCUCUCGCAUCAAACAUUGUGCAAUGGCUAGAGUGUAUGAAACUCUAAAAUGAAUUAUGAAGGUAAACCCAGAGGUAAUGUAUUAAUCAAUAUUCAUAACAUACAUCUCAUUCAUAAUGAAAGUAUGGCCCUUAUGUUAUUCAUAACACCGAACAUGAAAAGUUCUCUUAUGGACAACCUUCUUGCAAGAUACCUUAUGCAAAGGGCUAGAGUGUGAAACUCUAAAAUGAAUUAUGAAAGUAAAUACAUGGGUAAUACACCGAUGGAAGGUAUAGUAACAUUUACUAUGUUCCAUGUGUGUAUCUCAACCUCAUUCCUGGCUAGUCUUUCAGGCCAUAGCAGUUGUUACAUCGAGUUGCAAUAGAAUGCAAUCGAGCGGGCAUUUUGUGAUUAACUCACAAUACCCAAGAAUUAGUGAUUAACAUGUUUAACCAUAAUUCACAAGAACUAUAUCUUUGACGAGCCUUCUAUACAUCAAAAACUUGUAUGACAUUCAUACAUGAGCUGGAUAUUCCAGUCUUCUUUCCUUUUGCUUUUAUACUUCUAACAGUUUAACUUUUAGUAUUUCUCCUACUCUCAGAAGAAGCACCCGUCUUUGCACCCCCACCUCCUUUAUCACUGAGCGGUCAUUUAGGGGCCUUAGCUGGUAACUUAAGAGUGGCAUUAGCCCCGGACUUCCUAGGCGUGAAAGUCUUACUAACACCCUUCGGACACUUCCUUUCUCUUUAAGUUGUUGUUUUAUUCACCUUUCAUCAUAUGGCAGGCGUUCUCCUGGAUCCCUCUUUUAUCAGUCUAAUGCAUAGUAAACACUUUUACUAAUAGUUUGCAAACAAACAUUGCUUUGGAUAUCUCAUAUCUUUUAGCUUUUGUCUGUCUCUGAAAAUGAUUUUCAGAUUCUAUGAAUAUCACAUAACUAUCCAAACUUUCGAAGUUCGGGUCUCAUGGAAGCAAACAUAUUGCACUUGACUGAAACGGAAUUAUAGCUUUUGGAUCGAAGGACGAGAGUCGCAUGAUCCAUAGCAUUAGCGGGAGGAUACGGAAAGCAUGCGAUAGGACAAAGUCCUUCUCGGCACUUUUGAGGACAAUCCUCAUAUUACGUUACCAAUCGUAAAGUUUUAACCAGAUAUUUAACAGCUAUUCAAUUUUUAAUAGGGAAGGUGGAAAUGCGAGCCAUUAUUCUACAACUAUUAUGCAAACCACACUUAGACAGUGUUCAAAAUUAAUUGCAUUGAGAAUUAAACAUGUUAAUUCAACAGUGCGCUCCCACUCAAAUCAAUAUCUCUCAAAAUUGAUUGUGAGUGAUACAAGACCCACAUUUCAAUUGUUCGCCAUUGGUGUAACACCACUGAUGACGAAAAAUCUCAACCGGUAGGCCAACUUGCCAAUCACAUCUCUAUGUGACUCUUGUUCAUCUUUCGAUGCGUGUGUUCCGAGCUCAUGAUGGUCAUGCCUGAACGUCAAGACAACCAAGUGAUCUCGCUGCGAGGUCUCAACUUACCCGCCUCACACUUCUCUAAUCGUUCGUACCCGUGUGACACGGCGCACCCCGAAAAGAUAGGUGUCGUGACGGUGCUACACUUGGGAGAACACUAACUACUUGGUAUUUUUGUGAGAGAUCACCCUAAUAAAAAGCGACUACCGCGCAAUCAAGAAGGGUGCAUCAUAAGGGAUAAACAUCUCAGGCAAUUCAUAAUAGCAUGAUAUGGUAUAGCCCUUUCUGACGGAGAAGUCUUUCAUUUCUUCGUCUUCGGCAUUCGCGUCGGUGUUCACCUUCACGAAGAUUGCCACCACCUUGUCGAUGCACCAGAUAAUAUUGCUAUCUCUAUAGCUAAUAAAAUAAGUGCAUUACUUAAGGUUGACACGCAGGUCAUUAAAGUGACAAUCAUAUGGCUCCAGCCAUCAUGCCGAAUCAUGACACGCAGGUCAUGUUAAUUACAUCAUGUAGUCAUCUCAUACAUAAUCAAAUUGAAUAUGAGCAUUGCUAUACCACAUCACAUGCACAUCCUGCAAAACCAAGUUAGACACCUCUAAUCGGUUUAUGCAAAAUUUUAUUUUACGUGGCUUCUAAGGUUUUGACUUAAACCGCAGCUACCAACGUUUUAUCAUCAAGUAUGAUUAUUCAAGUUGCUAGAUUAACAUCUCGGGGUGUAUGAAACACAAGAUAAUUAAAUCUCGAGCCCCAUACUAAACUUCGUCAUACGCAUGACCCCCGUGCAGAUAAUAUCUGCAAUGCCCUUUCAUCUGUGAAUUUCAUCUUUCUUUUGACUACGGCAGAACCCAAAGAACUGAUAGCACUUCCAUGAUCAAUCAGGAUCACGGAUUGCCAGAACUUUGUCAAAUUCCA
rnacentral:lncRNA from 1 species